AAAAGCUCAAAUUUUAAAGCUGACAUCUUCGGUGUCCGCGUUGUAAUUUUGUGAGGCAUCUCCGGGUAGGGCGCCGGCCUAAGUUCCUUGGAACAGGACGUCACAGAGGGUGAGAAUCCCGUGCUUGGCUGGCUGUCCCCGUCCAUGUGAGGUGUCUUCGACGAGUCGAGUUGUUUGGGAAUGCAGCUCAAAAUGGGUGGUAAAUUUCAUCUAAAGCUAAAUAUUGGUGGGAGACCGAUAGCGCACAAGUAGAGUGAUCGAAAGAUGAAAAGCACUUUGAAAAUAGAGUUAAAAAGUACGUGAAAUUGUUGAAAGGGAAGCGCUUGAGACCAGACUUCGGUAAGGGGUGAUCAGCCGUCCUUCUGGGCGGUGCACUUGCCCCCCYCCGGGCCAGCAUCGGUUGAGGCGGCGGGAUAAAGGUCCCGGGAAUGUGGCUCCUUCACGGGAGUGUUAUAGCCCGGGUGAAUGCCGCCAGCUUCGACCGAGGACCG
rnacentral:rRNA from 1 species